UCCAGCGCACUCACCUAUCCACUAAACAGCAACUUCAAUGUUGAAAGAUUUUAUUUGUUUUUUAAAGGCUUAUGCACUGUAUGAUCAUAUAAUGUAACUAAACCCCCAUUAUUUUUGCCUAGAUUAGGUGUUUUUAAAAAACAAAUAAAAUCUUUCAACAUUGAAGUUGCUGUUUAGUGGAUAGGUGAGUGCGCUGGA